GAGAAACCCUGUCUUGAAAAACCAAAAAAAAGGGGAGAAAAAAAAAAGAUUGCUAUAGCAAGAAAGUCUAACCUAUUCCGGUGUUCUCUUCCUCAUGAGACAAGCCGUUAUAAAGGCUCAAACAAU